CAUCAUAAUAACAUAUACACUUAAUAAGCAUGUAUGAUAUACAAGCUAUCAAAGAACGAGAUUUGUUUUGCUAAUCUCUUGUCUUUCCCUAAUCAUUAAUUCAUUACCAUUUCACAAUUGUAAUUAAGACUUGUAAUUCUGUGUUCAGAGAUUUCAAAACAUGCUGGUUAUUUCCAAGAGUAGAUAAUAUUUAAAAAAUAAAAUAAGCAUGAAAUAAGAUACCAAGUUAUGUAAAAUAUUGUUUCAAAUAACAUACUUUCUUAUGAUUAAUCAUAAAUGUACAAAACUUUGAAUAACAGGUCCCACCUUCUAAUCUAAAACUAUUCCUAAAGCAGACAUUUAUACGUUAUGUGAACUUUAUCUUUCUAUCACGUUAAUGUUAAGUGUAAAUGUAGUGGAAAGAUAUUUAUAUUUGAUAAAGAACUAAGAUAGAAGGUCCCUUGACAGCACAAAAUAAACCACUCAAAUUUGCUAAUCUCUAAUAUUUAGAUGGAAAAAUGAAAAGGGAGAAUUAGAGUUAAUCUCUUAUCAGCAAUUUAUAGACAAAGAAUAAUUUAUUGCUAUUAUUUCAACAAUAGGUGCAGUUAUUUAUCACAUUGGUAAUCUUUAUGUGUAUCUUUCUUAUUGCUAGUUGAUAAGUUUGAUAAUAUAUAUAUAUAUGACAAAAGAUGUGUAUGGUGCAAUAAUAAACAUGAUAAAUGGUAAUAAAAAUUAAUAGAUUGUACAUUAAAUAAAAAAAGUUGACAACUAUCAGAUAUCAGAUAUUUAAUAACACAAAACCUAUUUUAUAUAAGAAAUCUUAAAAAAUAUCAAUAAUUAAAGUCUAACAGAAAUUAGAAACUUAAUGUCUAGUUCUAAUAAUUAUGUCUGUAGUUUCUUAAUAUUUCUGAGGACCCUAUGUAGUAUUUUUAAUGUGUCUUACAGUCGAUAUGGGUAUUGAUAUUUCUAAAGUAUCAGCCACGGGUUAGAUGAUAAGAGUGAUUUAUAUAUCUACAGUCUGCAUAGUUAUGUACAUGAUUGCUAUCUUUGAAUCUACUUCACAUUUAGUCUAUGAUAAAUUAUUUGUUUCCUCCUUGGCAUCGGUGGCUCUUUUGACAUAAACAUUUUCGAAAAUUCAUAUGUAUUACAAAAAUAAAAUCUGGCGUCUUUAUUUCGAUAUUUUAUAAUAGGAAUUAAUUAGUACAAAGAAAUGGAUAGUUACAAAAAUCUGGAACGUAAAGGGCAAAUCAAUAUAACCUCAGUUGUUUGGUCGCGGUCAAGGUCGUGCUACAUAUAGGUGAAAGUCAUUGAUAGUGAAAUUUAGGUGGUUGUGUGUGUGUGUGUGUGUGUUUAGAAGGUGUAGGCGUUAUACAUACAGAUCUUAUAUUAAAUAGUUCGAAGUUGCGCUAAAAACAGCUGUUUCAAACGAAUGUUGUAGUAUGUGCAGUAGUUGUUACAUGGACAUUUUAAAUUGAACAAAAGAAAAACGUUUGGAGAUCAGUGUGAGUGGUGUGAAACGAUUGUAUUCUUAAAAUUACGAGACAGACUAUCGAUUAAAAGAAUUAACGAAUCGUGAAACUGGUCGUUCGUUUCCUUCUCCAAACAGAAUUCGACACGCAGACCAAAGAUAUGUACCAUAUGUACGUUCCAUCGUUUCGUGUGCAUGAGAGUUACGUAAACGGGACAGGUAUUGGUGUUGGUUGACCUACCAAUUUCCGGAUCCGAUAAUACAAACACGCUGUUUAGCUGCCAUAAUCUUCGAUGAUCCCGACGUCGGAUAUGCAGGAGUAUAAACUGAAAAGAAUCGCACGACAAUGUACACAAACCACGCGGCUCCGUAGCGAGGUGGCAACUGGAACAGCUCUGUACACUGUACUUACAUGAAAAGGCUCGCGAUGUUUUCCGUGGAAGUGGGAGAGAUACCAGCAAAUACCAGCGAGCGAAUUGAUACUGCCGACCGAGUACUGAUAGGCCAAUCAUUAUGGUAAGCAAAAUUGAACGGUUAACCAAUAAAAUUCCAUGCGAUAAGAA